CCCGAAGCCCGUCUGCCAGCAAAAUAAUUUUGACCAAACAUAACGGACGGUCCUUCUAGUUCGGAGAUCAUAUGUUCCUCCAAAAUCCAGCAGAGAUUGUAAGGACAGUCCGGAACAGGGCAAGGCAAAGCAGCUGCUAGAACUCAGCCUCUGAGUACCUGACUACUGCUACAGGCACCAUAGGACCCGACUCACCACAAGGACUCUAAACCAGCACCAAGACAUCCAGCAUGCAGACACAGAAGAGACAUCC